rnacentral:rRNA from 1 species
GGCAGCAGUGGGGAAUCUUCGGCAAUGGGCGAAAGCCUGACCGAGCAACGCCGCGUGAAUGAUGAAGGCCUUCGGGUUGUAAAAUUCUGUUAUAAGGGAAGAACGACUUUAGUAGGAAAUGGCUAAAGUGUGACGGUACCUUAUGAGAAAGCCACGGCUAACUACGUGCCAGCAGCCGCGGUAAUACGUAGGUGGCAAGCGUUAUCCGGAAUUAUUGGGCGUAAAGAGCGCGCAGGUGGUUGAUUAAGUCUGAUGUGAAAGCCCACGGCUUAACCGUGGAGGGUCAUUGGAAACUGGUCGACUUGAGUGCAGAAGAGGGAAGUGGAAUUCCAUGUGUAGCGGUGAAAUGCGUAGAGAUAUGGAGGAACACCAGUGGCGAAGGCGGCUUCCUGGUCUGUAACUGACACUGAGGCGCGAAAGCGUGGGGAGCAAACAGGAUUAGGUACCCUGGUAGUCCACGCCGUAAACGAUGAGAAUCACUAGU